rnacentral:rRNA from 1 species
AAACCGUUGAAAGGGAAGCGAAUGGAGUUAGCAAUUUGCUCUGCCAGAUUCAGUUGUUUGUGCUUCGCGACGUGCAUGCUCUUGAUCUGCAUGGACGUGACGUGCACGGGUGCGACGUGCGGACGGCGCACUUCUGGCGGGCAAGCGUCAGCGUCGGUUGCCGACGGGCGAUAAGGUCACGAGGAAGGUAGACGUGCCUUCAGGUGCCUUGUUAAGACUCGCGUUCUCAUGGCUCGACGCCGACCGUGGCUCCUUCACACUGAGGCGACGCGUGCCUGGCUGGUGACUCAUGCGAUCGUUCCAGCAUGUCGACUGUGGCGGACGGCACGCCUGUAUGCUUGAACUGCUGCUGGUCGCUCGCACAAUGCUCGCGCACUACGCGUCGAAGACGCUGACGACCAUACGGCUCCCUCCGACCCAUCUUGAAACACGGACCAAGGAGUGUAAAAUAUGCACAAGUCUCCGGGUGAUUGAAACCCAUGUGUGCAAUGAGAGUAAAGGUCGUCCUAGACAAUUGAGGUGAGAAGCGCGCUUCGUCUCGACGCGCACCGCAUCAUCAACCGACCUAUUCUGCUCUCAGAAAGAUUUGAGUAGGAGCGUAUCUGUUGGGACCCGAAAGAUGGUGAACUAUGCCUGAAUAGGGUGAAGCCAGCGGAGGCACUGGUGGAAGCUCGUAGCGAUCCUGACGUGCAAAUCGAUCGUCGAAUUUGGGUAUAGCGGCGAAAGACUAAUCGAACCAUCUAGUAGCUGG